rnacentral:misc_RNA from 1 species
CUUGGAAUAAACCCGUCCACGGACUUUGAAAUGGAAAGAAUUAGAAACUUUGUUAAGGGAGCACACCCCAUGGACUUCUUUAUUGAUUUGAAUAAUGUUGACUCAAGAAAAAUUGAGUUGAGCAUCUUCACAGUUCACACUCAUUUGUUUCCACCAGAAUACAAGGACAAAUAAAAUUAAUGGAAAUAAUAGGAUGUAUAGGGUUAGAUAAUUCCCCCAUUUUAGCAGCCAUGGUCUAAGGCAAUACAACCAAGGCUCCAAUUUUAACCUUAUGUUACUCUUUUCCCAAUUCUGCAAAACACUUGAUGUCUUAUCCUCUACCUUUUGCAAGAACAUCAACUUCCUCCCCAUGGACUCUUCAUACAUGAAUUCUUCCAUCUCAUCCUCCACUUCUUCUGGCUCAUGAUAGAUUUCCUUUUGUUUUUCAAUCAAAUUGAUAGUUUUUCUCUUUGGACAUUCAUGUGACUUGUGCUUCUCAUUGCAUUUAUG